ensembl:lncRNA ST3GAL6-AS1 ST3GAL6 antisense RNA 1
UACCUUUCGGGCGGGGCGGACACCAGCCGCGCGCCCUCGCCGGGCGCCGGGACCGGAAAAUCACCGCGAAGGGAGGGACGAGGAAAGGCGGCGGGUGGCUUCAGGACAAGGACUUUGUGAUUACAUUGGGCCCAUCCAGAUCAUCCAGGAUCAUCUUCCCAUCUCAAGAUUCUUCACUUAAUCACAUCUGCAAAAUUCCUUUUGCUGUCUGUGAGAUAUCGGUGGGCGAGGAUGUGAUGCCUGAAGAUGUGGCAUCUACCUUGAAACAGUCAAGGACCUGAGGAUGAAGCCAGCAUCUGAGGAAGACAGACAGAAAGGAUCUGGAUACAUCAUGAGGUAAAUGAGCUGCUAAAUUAUCCAAACCUGGAAUAAUAAUAAAAUAUGUCAUUUAGUAUAUUUACAGGUAGUAUAUUCAAGUACAUUCAAUGUUAAAGUCAAUCAUGAUAUUCUUCCCCUUCUUACAGCCUGAAAAGUAUCUUGCAUACACAACUGGCAGCACAGAAUCCUGACAAACCUCUCAUCAGAAAUCAACCACAGACUCUUUAUGCUCUUACCAAAAUGCUGGCUUUGAGAACUAAUUAUGAAUGAAAAUUACUGAUGUGAUUUUCAGGUGAGAGACCCUAUUAGACAAAAUUUUGGAUUCAUUUUUUUCUCUUGAGUAAAACAUGGGGAAAAAAUCUUUCUCAAUUUUAUCUUUGAAUCAAACUAUAUCAUGAAAGGGCUAUGUUUUUAUCCCUUACAAUUAAUACCAUGAAGGGUCCAGCAAUAGAAUACAUCACCUGUAUUAACUAUAUAACUAUCUUUCAGAAUUAAUUCCUGCAUAGGUAAAUGAGUAAUUCUCUAAUUCCUACAAUUUCUACAACUCUAAGAUUCUGUGAUAUCAAAAUUUUCAAGUAUUAUACUAAACUCUCAAUAUAUAUUGAUAAGCUGGUUCUUUUGCUAUUGCAAAAAUUCAACUAAGAGAUAGGAAAAUGGGUCAAUGGCAACAACAAAUUAAUGGAGACUGCAGCAAAAGAUUAUUUAACAUACUUUCUUCCCUUUUAUGGAAAAGAGAGCUGUUCUCCUUUUUGAACCAUAUUCCCCUAAAUACCCUCACAAUCUUCUUAGGCCUCUCACUCCUUCAUUUUCUUUUCUAGCCCCUUCAUCUCAUCCUUAUUUUGAAUUCAGAUGAGUUAAUACAGUUUGAUGGCCUAGUUCAGAUUCUAGAAAGGGACAGCUAUUCAGAGAUGAUAGUGACAUGCUUUUCUCUUCUCACAUUGCUUCUCUUUAAAGAAUUUACAGGACUUCUGCCUACAUUUACAUCUGAAAACAAUAGUUUCAUUUGGUGUCACAUCCUUGCCCAAAUUUAUUGAGAAUAUUGGUAAAGGACAACAUAUUUACAAGGAUUUCUUUAUUAAAAACUGGGGAGAUUGGCAAGUGACACUGUCACUAAAUAAAUAAAAAUAAAAACUGAGAAAAGCAAUAACAUUUGAUUUGUCAUUUCCCAGUCUAGGGAAGAAUAUCAAGUUAAACUUUAUGAAGUCCAAGACAAUGGGAAAAGAAGAGGUGUUCCUGUCCAGGCCCUCUUCCAGUUAGAAGGUGAUGGUUUCCAGAAGUCUGCACCUGUAUUUCAAUUACCUAUAAUGGAGUUUAUAGGACUAAACUAUAUUCACUAUAUUUUCUUAUUUUUGUGUGUGUGUUUGAUGUGCUGGCAACUGGGGACUUGGUAACUGGGGAGGGAUAGCUCUUCUCAGGAAGAGCUAAUUCUUAGAGAUACAGGGAGCAUGCUUUUCAUAUGCAAACUACUCAAACUGGAGUCCACACUUCCCCAACCUCCUCUAUAGGACUCUUACUCUCCUGCCCGAUAUUCCCCUGCUCUAAUCAUCUUGGGGCCAGGUACCAGGCAACUCAGGACGGCCACUACACCUCCAGAGCCCACUGACAUUAUUAAAACUAGACAAUUCUAAGCUGCUUGCCCUACCUUGACCUUAUUCCUUUUGUUGCAAAACGCAAUAAAGGGUCUUGCCACAUUUUCCUUCUGCUCCCUCUGCCUCCGGACUGACCCUGGUGCUUUCCUUUGUGGGCCUUCGUGGCUUACCUCGUGUUUCUAGGAACCUGCAAGUGUAAAAACUUCUUUCUUCAUGACAGUCAUUUCCAUGACUGCUGCCUUACUAUACCUGAUUUAAACAAAUCCUGAGCACAUUUUAAAACAUAAAUUCAACAGCUGGACCUGCUAUGCAGAGCAAUUCAGGCGGAGGGAAUGGCUCAUGCACACUCUCCAAGUACUGUUAGGUAUGAGUUCUAAAUUUCUCUUCAAAGAAUCAAUAUGUCAGUAUGUUCAGUUCUUUGCCUUCUACUGUUAAACUUAACUUCCUCGUAAAGCAACCUUUUUCCAUUACCUGCUCCACCCUGACUCAUUCUGAUUACCUGCUCAUUCUCCACCCUGGCUUACUCUGAUUUCCUGCUCUGCCCUGUAACCAUUUUUCCCGCCAAACCACUCACCCUGUCACUCUCUUUAAAUUAGCCAAUUGGAAUUAGUUUAGCCUGUGCAGUCUAACCCAAGCCAAUAGGGGAACCAUACAGCAGCAGGGACCACGUGCCUCAGGGAUAAGAACCCCUUCCCCUCCCUUGUCCAAGUGUGCGCUCACGAUUGCUCCAUCUGUAAGGGUGCACCCUUCUAUAGAAGUACGU